GAUCCUGGCUCAGAUUGAACGCUGGCGGCAUGCUUUACACAUGCAAGUCGAACGGCAGCAUAGAGAGCUUGCUCUCUGAUGGCGAGUGGCGAACGGGUGAGUAAUACAUCGGAACGUGUCCGUUUGUGGGGGACAACCACCCGAAAGGGUGGCUAAUACCGCAUAAGACCUGAGGGUGAAAGCCGGGGACCGCAAGGCCUGGCGCGAACGGAGCGGCCGAUGACUGAUUAGCUGG
rnacentral:rRNA from 1 species